AAACUUAUACUGUUACCAGGAACAUAUAUAUUGUUAGAUAAACUGUUCCCAGAUGUCACGUUGUAAUGGAUUUUGACAUUAAAAUUGGUGUACAAAAUAUUUUCUGCUUUUUCUUUCUUUUACAUAUAUCUGUUGGUUUUCAAUUCUAGUGUUUAUAUUUAUUUACCAUGCAUAGAUGUAUUUUGUCACCUGUCUGGAUUUUUUCAGUUGAUAUCCAAAACCCGGGAUUACCCUUAUCCGCUUCCGGAAUCGGAUCCGAUAUUGUAAUUGUCUUCUCGUGGCAGCCAUUUUUUUUCGAUGUUGUUUUUGACAGACAGUGAGAUACGAUUUUACUCGGAUUUACACAUUAUUUGUUGGCGAUUUUCUGUAUAAAGCUAGCGAUUGAACAAAUUGAACAUCGCUGCCAUGAAUAGUAAUGAUGAAAAUAAGUUUGAGAUCGUUUAUUAGGAAACUUUGGUAAAAAUGUUUGCAAAGUUAUUUUUUAUUUUCUUUCAAGGUCCGUCGGGCAUGUCGGGCGUAGCUAGUAACCAAGUAGUAAGUCCGACUGCAAAAGUGGAAGGUCGCAGACCUCGGACCACCGCUAAUUUGAAUCCCUGCGUCCAAAUUUAAAAGAUACGAAAAUAUCAACUUCUAAUUCAAAAUUGCCGCCAACAGCGUGAUCAGUUGAAAUAUAUUAAUAGACUACUGACGUAGAUGACUACGUAUUGAUGACAAACAAUAUUCAUACGACUUUUGCAAUUUGGGAAAUCUUAACUACUUGUCUUUAGAGAUU
rnacentral:lncRNA from 1 species